AGAGUGAACGCUGGCGGUAGGCCUAACACAUGCAAGUCGAACGGCAGCACGGUAAGAGCUUGCUCUUAUGGGUGGCGAGUGGCGGACGGGUGAGGAAUACAUCGGAAUCUACCUUUUGGUGGGGGAUAACGUAGGGAAACUUACGCUAAUACCGCAUACGCCCUUCGGGGGAAAGCCGGGGACCAGCAAUGGCCUGGCGCUGAUAGAUGAGCCGAUGUCGGAUUAGCUAGUUGGUGAGGUAAUGGCUCACCAAGGCGACGAUCCGUAGCUGGUCUGAGAGGAUGAUCAGCCACACUGGAACUGAGACACGGUCCAGACUCCUACGGGAGGCAGCAGUGGGGAAUAGUUGGACAAUGGGCGCAAGCCUGAUCCAGCCAUACCGCGUGGUGAAGAAGGCCUUCGGGUUGUAAAAGGUCCC
rnacentral:rRNA from 1 species